rnacentral:rRNA from 1 species
CCUACGGGAGGCAGCAGUGGGGAAUAUUGCACAAUGGGGGAAACCCUGAUGCAGCGACGCCGCGUGAGUGAAGAAGUAUCUCGGUAUGGAAAGCUCUAUUAACAGGGAAGUAAAUGACGGUACCUGACUCAGAAGCCCCGGCUAACUACGUGCCAGCAGCCGCGGUAAUACGUAGGGGGCAAGCGUUAUCCGGCUUUACUGGGUGUAAAGGGAGCGUAGACGGGUGUGCAAGUCCGGAGUGAAAGCCCAUGGCUUAACCAUAGUCCUGCUCUUGAAACUGGGGGGCUUGAGGGCGGGAGAGGCAGGCGGAAUUACUAGUGUAGCGGUGAAAUGCGUAGAUAUUAGGAAGAACACCGGCGGCGAAGGCGGCCUGCUAGACCGUAACUGACGUUGAGGCUCGAAAGCGUGGGGAGCAAACAGGAUUAGAUACCCUUGUAGUC